UCUGUGAUUCGCAGGUGGAGCCAAUGACU
rnacentral:piRNA from 1 species